GCGCAGCAGGCGAGAAACCUCCGCAAUACACGAAAGUGUGACGGGGCCAUCCCGAGUGCCGUCCGCUGAGGACGGCUUUUCCCCAGUGUACACAGCUGGGGGAAUAAGGAGAGGGCAAGCCUGGUGUCAGCCGCCGCGGUAAUACCAGCUCUCCGAGUGGUGGGGACGCUUAUUGGGCCUAAAGCAUCCGUAGCCGGCUGGGCAAGUCCUCCGUUAAAUCCAACGAUUCAAUCGUUGGGCUGCGGGGGAUACUGUCCAGCUUGGGGGCGGGAGAGGCCGACGGUAUUCCCGGGGUAGGGGUGAAAUCCUAUAAUCCCGGGAGGACCGCCAGUGGCGAAGGCUGUCGGCUAGAACGCGCCCGACGGUGAGGGAUGAAAGCGUGGGGGAGCGAACCGGAUUAGAUACCCGGGUAGU
rnacentral:rRNA from 1 species